rnacentral:rRNA from 1 species
CCCGGGAGCGGCGGACGGCUCAGGACGACGGUUGCACCCCCCGCGGCGGUCCCUGCUAGCCGGACACCGCUGGCAACCCGGCGCCAAGACGUGCGCGCAAGGGCGGGCGCCCGCGGGCGAGCAGCGUGACGCAG